rfam:Cystobacter fuscus DSM 2262 contig9, whole genome shotgun sequence.
GCCGCGGUAGCCCAAUGGGUAGAGGCACUGCGUUCAGAACGCAGAAGGUGCGGGUUCGAAUCCCGCCCGCGGCA